AAAAUAAAGUUUGACAAUUUAAAAUUUUCUUGAGAUUAAAAACCAAUAUGUAUGGUCCAUUAGAAAAGCUGAUUUUGCUUGACAUUCUGAAUUUGUUCAAUAAUGUAUACAUGUGGUUUAUAGUGGUUUUGCUGCCAUUAUGAGAUUAAGUACCACAUUUAUUCUAUUGACGUUCUAUUUAUCUAGAAUUUUGCUUAAUUUUCAUCACCAAUGGUGGAUUUUUAAGCUUUCUUAUCAAAUUGGUGCUUGAUAAUCUGCAGGUUGCUACACGUUUCUUGU
rnacentral:misc_RNA from 1 species